rnacentral:lncRNA from 10 species
CCUGCAGGGUUGCCAUCACUGACUCCCAGGUGAUGCAGCCUCUGCAGAUCUAUCCGCUGGCUCCAGAUUGUCAGCUUCUGUCUUUAGUUCUGAAUUCCCCCACCUUCAGGAGUUAUCUGGUAUUCUCAAAGAGAAGGGUGGCUAAGAAGGGAGGUUUCUUUCCAAAAACUCCCCUUAGGCAAGGCAGGCAGAACUGUGAAGAGAAAACAGAAAAUAGGAGAGCUUGUUCUUGUUUUCUGAAUCCCAAAGAACGUCACCCCCAAUGCUGUCACUCACUAAAUGGAGCAUCUCAGGAGGAGAGAUGCUGCAGCCAGUCUCAGAGGAAGGAUCUCAGUCUCCUGGACAUAUCUGUUGCUUUCUUUCACUUGGUGAUAGACAAGCCACGAUCUCAUUUCAAAGCCUUCAGUUAGGCUAUGGGAUGCUACCUUCAAAAUCAAGCUUCUCUUAGAUCUAUAUAGAGGUGGAACACAACAUGAAGAUUGGAUAUCUAAUAUUGGCCUGAGGUUUUCUUUGUUCUGGGAAGUAAUCACUGGAGCGACUCUCUUGGUAUGACAUGCAUGGCUGCAGAGUUCCUCCCAGGAGACUGGACAGUCAAUGGAGUCCCUCAUGCCACAAUGGAUUCACUCAUCUCUUUUAGCACUCAGGAAUUCUACAAAUUUGAUCUUUAAGAAAAUGAUGAAGAUGAGUAUGAAUAGCUUGAAGACAGCAUAAUACCUUAAGCCAAGGCCCAAGCCUUGCACAGUGCCCAACACUAAGUAAACACAUGUGUUUAUCAACUAUAAGGAACUAUGGAAACAUUGUCAGGGAUACAAAGAGCACGAAAACAACUUUGGGAUCCUGACCAGAAUGAAGAGAAGAGAAGAGAAGAGGUCUCAGAUUGCAUGCUUGGUAGUAAGGGGUCUCUCCACCCAGCCUCUACCUCUCAGUCUCA